UACGGGGGGGGCAAGCGUUGUUCGGAAUUACUGGGCGUAAAGGGCUCGUAGGCGGCCAACUAAGUCGGAUGUGAAAUCCCCAGGCUCAACCUGGGAACUGCAUCCGAUACUGGAUGGCUUGAAUUCGGGAGAGGGAUGCAGAAUUCCAGGUGUAGCGGUGAAAUGCGUAGAUAUCUGGAGGAAUACCGGUGGCGAAGGCGGCAUCCUGGACCGACACUGACGCUGAUGAGCGAAAGCUAGGGGAGCAAACGGG
rnacentral:rRNA from 1 species